UGGCUGUCGUCAGCUCGUGUCGUGAGAUGUUCGGUUAAGUCCGGCAACGAGCGCAACCCACAUCCUUAGUUGCCAGCAGUUCGGCUGGGCACUCUAGGGAAACUGCCCGUGAUAAGCGGGAGGAAGGUGUGGAUGACGUCAAGUCCUCAUGGCCCUUACGGGUUGGGCUACACACGUGCUACAAUGGCAUCAACAAUGGGUUAAUCCCCAAAAGAUGUCUCAGUUCGGAUUGGGGUCUGCAACUCGACCCCAUGAAGUCGGAAUCGCUAGUAAUCGCGUAACAGCAUGACGCGGUGAAUA
rnacentral:rRNA from 1 species